rnacentral:rRNA from 1 species
AGUGAACGCUGGCGGUAGGCCUAACACAUGCAAGUCGAACGGCAGCACAGUAAGAGCUUGCUCUUACGGGUGGCGAGUGGCGGACGGGUGAGGAAUACAUCGGAAUCUACUUUUUCGUGGGGGAUAACGUAGGGAAACUUACGCUAAUACCGCAUACGACCUACGGGUGAAAGCAGGGGAUCUUCGGACCUUGCGCGAUUGAAUGAGCCGAUGUCGGAUUAGCUAGUUGGCGGGGUAAAGGCCCACCAAGGCGACGAUCCGUAGCUGGUCUGAGAGGAUGAUCGCCACCACUGGAACUGGGACACGGUCCAGACCCCUAGGGGAGGCAGCAGUGGGAAAUAUUGGACAUGGGGCGCAGGCCUGAUCCAGCCAUCCCGCUUGGUGGAAGAAGGCCUUCGGUUUGUAAAGCCUUUUUGUUGGGAAGAAAAGGCGGCGGUUAAUACCCCGCUGUUCUGACGGUACCCAAAGAAUAAGCACCGGCUAACUUCGUG